GCCAGCCCGCUCAGAAACUUAAUGAAUUGACGGGGCCGCACAAGCGGAGGAGCAUGUGGUUAAUUCGAUGAUACGCGAGGAACCUUACCUGGGCUCGAACGUAAGAUGACUGUAGGUGAAAGCUUACAUCUCUUCGGAGCAUUUUACGAGGUGCUGCAUGGUUGUCGUCAGCUCGUGCCGUGAGGUGUCGGGUUAAGUCCCAUAACGAGCGCAACCCUACCUUUAGUUGCCAUCAGGUAAUGCUGGGGACUCUAAAGGAACUGCCUACGCAAGUAGUGAGGAAGGCGGGGAUGACGUCAAAUCAGCACGGCCCUUACGUCCAGGGCUACACACGUGCUACAAUGGCCGAUACAGAGGGCAGCUACCUGGUGACAGGAUGCAAAUCUCCAAAGUCGGUCUCAGUUCGGAUCGGAGUCUGCAACCCGACUCCGUGAAGUUGGAUUCGCUAGUAAUCGCGCAUCAGCCAUGGCGCGGUGAAUACGUUCCCGGGCCUU
rnacentral:rRNA from 1 species